UUAUGGCUCUCCACAAUGGAUAUCUCAGCCCUAGCGAUGAUGAAGAAUGUAGUGAAAUGCAAUACUUAGUGUGAAUUGCAAAAUCCCAUGAAUCGUUGAAUCUUUGAAUGUAAGUUGCGCCUGAGGCCUUAACUAAGGGCACAUCUACCUAGGUGUCGCAU
rnacentral:rRNA from 1 species